AACGGACGCUGGCGGCAUGCCUAACACAUGCAAGUCGAACGAGAUCUUCGGGUCUAGUGGCGCACGGGUGCGUAACGCGUGGGAAUCUGCCCUUUGGUUCGGAAUAACAGUUGGAAACGACUGCUAAUACCGGAUGAUGACGAAAGUCCAAAGAUUUAUCGCCAGAGGAUGAGCCCGCGUAGGAUUAGCUAGUUGGUGUGGUAAAGGCGUACCAAGGCGACGAUCCUUAGCUGGUCUGAGAGGAUGAUCAGCCACACUGGGACUGAGACACGGCCCAGACUCCUACGGGAGGCAGCAGUGGGGAAUAUUGGACAAUGGGCGAAAGCCUGAUCCAGCAAUGCCGCGUGAGUGAUGAAGGCCUUAGGGUUGUAAAGCUCUUUUACCCGGGAUGAUAAUGACAGUACCGGGAGAAUAAGCUCCGGCUAACUCCGUGCCAGCAGCCGCCGCAG
rnacentral:rRNA from 1 species